UUCAACCUCACCACAAAUCGUUAGAACAGAUAGAUGGUUGCGGCUGCGAGGAGACGGCGAAUCGUUGCUGGUAAUUGCCGACUGAUAUUUUGGGGUUCAUACAAAAGAUAAACACGGGCUGCCUAAUGAUAUGGAGGUAGUAGACAUCUUUUUGCUGGAAUUUUUCUGUGCAAUUUGUUAGCUGGGUAUUCUUCGGUAUGGUUUUCGGUUUAUAAAAAUCAUUUAUUUAUUUAUUUUUGUUCAUUAUACUUGGGAAUUACUGCCUUCCACUGGUGUAGUUAGUAGGAUUGAGCUUGUUCUGAGGAUGAGCGGAUCGAUGGAUUCUGCCAAAAAGCUUUGCAUAACCUUAAAAGCAAUUACUUCUAACUAGAAAUUCAAAGCAUUGCAAUGGCUAUGUUAAAGCUACCAGUACCAAUUAGUAGCCUUGCUCCUGUCAAAUUCACGCCAUUUCUAUCUAAGUCCAAUGACUUGGCUUCUCCUCUCCUGGACCCAAUGAAGCUCUUGAAAGUGGCUGCAGACGCCAAAAACUUAAAAUUUGGUAGAACAAUCCAUGCCCAUUUGAUCAUUACCAAUCGCCUCCCUGGAGACUGCAGGGUAAACCAAAUUAAUUCUCUUAUUAAUUUGUAUGUGAAAUGUGAUGAACUAUUCAUUGCUCGGCAGAUGUUCGAUAGAAUGUCGAAAAGAAAUGUGGUUUCUUGGUGUGCUUUAAUGGCUGGGUAUAUGCAAAAUGGGAGUCCCUUGGAAGUUUUUGAGUUGUUCAAAAAGAUGAUAGUGAAGGAUAAUAUUUUCCCCAAUGAAUAUGUGAUUGCCACUGUUAUAUCUUCUUGUCGUGAUAGUCAAAUGUAUGUAGAGGGGAGGCAGUGCCAUGGGUUUUCCUUAAAGUCUGGAUUGGAGCUUCAUCAAUAUGUUAAGAAUGCACUUAUUCAGAUGUACUCUAAGUGUUCAGAUGUAAGAGCAGCAUUGAAGAUAUUAGAUACUGUGCCAGGUUAUGACGUAUUUUGUUAUAAUUUGGUUCUAAAUGGGCUUCUAGAGCAUUCACAUGUGAGAGAAGCUAUAGAAGUUCUGAAGUUAAUGAUUGGUGAAGGCACAAAAUGGAAUAACGCCACUUUCGUUACGAUUUUUCGCAUUUGUGCUAGUCUUAAAGAUUUAAAAUUCGGUAAGCAUGUUCAUGCUCGAAUGUUGAAAAGUGAUAUCGACUACGAUGUCUAUAUUGGAAGUUCUAUCAUUGAUAUGUAUGGGAAAUGUGGUAAUGUGUUGAGUGGAAGAGCCUUUUUUGAUCAGUUGCAAAACCGAAAUGUUGUUUCUUGGACAGCAAUCAUGGCAGCUUAUUUUCAGAAUGGAUUCUUUGAAGAAGCAUUGAAUCUGUUUUCAAAGAUGGAAAUUGAUCAUAUUCCUCCUAAUGAAUAUACACUGGCUGUGUUGUUAAACUCUGCUGCAGGUUUGUCCGCACUAAGCCAUGGUGAUCAGUUACAUGCUCGUGCCGAAAAAUCUGGUCUCAAGGGCAAUGUUAUAGUAGGGAAUGCCUUGAUCAUAAUGUAUUCCAAGAGUGGGGACAUUUUAGCAGCACAAUGCGUGUUCUCAAACAUGAAGUGUUGUGAUUCCAUUACCUGGAAUGCGAUAAUAACUGGUCACUCUCACCAUUGUAUCGGUAAGGAAGCGUUGAACAUAUUCCACGACAUGUUGACUGCUCGAGAAUGUCCCAAUUAUGUGACCUUUAUUGGUGUUCUUUCUGCUUGUGCCCAUUUAAGUUUGGUAGAUGAAGGAUUGUACUAUUUUAAUCAUUUGAUGAAACAAUUUGGUAUUGUUCCUGGGUUGGAACACUAUACCUGCAUUGUUGGACUUCUAAGUAGAUCUGGACGACUCGAUGAAGCUGAGAAUUUUAUGAGGUCGAAUCCAAUCAAUUGGGACGUUGUUGCAUGGCGCACCCUUCUCAAUGCUUGUUAUGUUCAUAGAAAUUAUGAUAAAGGGAAACAAAUAGCAGAGUACUUACUACAGAUGGAUCAUGAGGAUGUAGGAUCUUAUAUUCUGUUAUCAAACAUGCAUGCGAGAGUUAGGAGAUGGGACGGUGUCGUUAAGGUUCGAAAAUUGAUGAGAGAAAGAAAUGUGAAGAAAGAACCUGGAGUGAGCUGGUUAGAAAUAAGAAAUAUUGCCCACGUUUUUACAUCCGAAGAUAAUAAACACCCCGAGUCGAGUCAGAUUUAUGAAAUGGUAAGGGACUUGUUAACCAAGAUUCGACCAUUGGGGUAUGUUCCUGAUAUUGCUGGUGUGUUGCACGAUAUUGAGGAUGAGCAAAAGCUCGACAAUCUUAGCUAUCAUAGCGAGAAGCUUGCUGUAGCAUAUGGCCUGAUGAAAUUACCAUCAGGUGCACCGAUUCGGGUGAUUAAGAACCUUAGGAUGUGCGAUGAUUGUCACACUGCUAUCAAACUUAUUUCAAAGCUUGCAAAUAGGACUAUAAUUGUUAGAGAUGCCAACCGUUUCCAUCAUUUUCAAGAUGGUUUUUGCUCGUGUGGAGAUUAUUGGUGAAAAUUUUGAUAAGUUUCUCAAUGGCUUGGAUGUUUUGAUGAUAAAAGGUUGCGAGCCAUGAUUCUGUGGUAGCAGAGAUAUCAAUAUACUCUACUAUUUCAGGCUGGUAUUAGGCACACAUGACACAAGUUGAGCCGACUAGGUCUGCACGUCGGGUUUCUACUUUUCCAGUGGUUGAACAUGUAGCUAUUUAGUUGGGGUGACUCUAGAAAACUUGAUUAAUUGGAAGAUUACAUCUCUGCCUACAUUAAUUGGUGGGCUUGUGUGGAUUCCCUCCGACCAAAGAAAUACUUCAUUCUUGCAACAGUGGCACGGCAGUUCAACCAAGAAAGGAAGUCCUUUGGGAGGAGGGUGAUUAUGGCUAUGACUUGAAUGGCUCAUUGACUAAGAGACAAAAAAGAUAGAUCGAUCUCUGGAUUUGCCUCCCUAAAAAGGUCGAAGAUUGGCUGCUUGAUGCUGUGAUGGGAACCUGUUUUAGAGGCAAAGCUAAGAUCCUUGGGGCUGUGCGUUAAAUCUACUUUAUGGUUAACUUGAAAGGAGCAUAAUCUUCUUUUGGUUAUACAACGCUUGUUGGAAUGCAUAUUGUUAGUAUCUGAGGCUGAAUGUGCAGUAACCGCAGGAGUUAUGAGCUGUUGGAAUGAUUUGGUUCAGUAGUUUUUGACAGAGCAUUUUCUGCUCUCAAAGAUUGCCAACGCUUCAAAGCUAAAUCACUUCAUUCAUUCUAGCAGUGGGAGGAGGAAUCGCUACAUGAAACUUGGGAGAGGCUCAAAGAAUGCUUGCGAAACUGCCUGAAUCAUGGUAUUCAAAUACAGACCUUAUACCAAUGGUUGCCAACACUUGAACGGUUGCUUCGAUUGAGGGGCACUUUUCUCCCAGACUUAUAAGGAUACCCGUCAUUAUACUGGACCCUCUAAUUCAUCCCUUUCGAGGCCCACCAUCCUUGCUGGCAUACUUUGGGGCUUAGUUUCUUUGCUGACACAUUAUCCGAUGUCUAGUUCCGUUACCAUUUGUCUACUGAUAUUGGCUUCUCUAGGCUUUCUCUUUCGAAUUUCGCGUCUACUUUAAAAGAGUUUUUUUAUCCUUUUUACACUCUUAUAAACAAUGCUCUGUUCUCUCUCACUGUCAAGGGAUCUCACCGUAUCUAUUUGUUUAGUUAGAUUAUUUAGCUCCUAUUUUGUUUUUGGUUCAUGAUCUAACCAAACAAUAGUUUAUAUUUGUUUGUA